UGCAAGUCGAACGAGUUCUGAUUAUUGAAAGGUGCUUGCAUCUUGAUUUAAUUUUGAACGAGUGGCGGACGGGUGAGUAACACGUGGGUAACCUGCCCUUAAGUGGGGGAUAACAUUUGGAAACAGAUGCUAAUACCGCAUAAAUCCAAGAACCGCAUGGUUCUUGGCUGAAAGAUGGCGUAAGCUAUCGCUUUUGGAUGGACCCGCGGCGUAUUAGCUAGUUGGUGAGGUAACGGCUCACCAAGGCAAUGAUACGUAGCCGAACUGAGAGGUUGAUCGGCCACAUUGGGACUGAGACACGGCCCAAACUCCUACGGGAGGCAGCAGUAGGGAAUCUUCCACAAUGGACGCAAGUCUGAUGGAGCAACGCCGCGUGAGUGAAGAAGGCUUUCGGGUCGUAAAACUCUGUUGUUGGAGAAGAAUGGUCGGCAGAGUAACUGUUGUCGGCGUGACGGUAUCCAACCAGAAAGCCACGGCUAACUACGUGCCAGCAGCCGCGGUAAUACGUAGGUGGCAAGCGUUAUCCGGAUUUAUUGGGCGUAAAGCGAGCGCAGGCGGUUUUUUAAGUCUGAUGUGAAAGCCCUCGGCUUAACCGAGGAAGUGCAUCGGAAACUGGGAAACUUGAGUGCAGAAGAGGACAGUGGAACUCCAUGUGUAGCGGUGAAAUGCGUAGAUAUAUGGAAGAACACCAGUGGCGAAGGCGGCUGUCUGGUCUGUAACUGACGCUGAGGCUCGAAAGCAUGGGUAGCGAACAGGAUUAGAUACCCUGGUAGUCCAUGCCGUAAACGAUGAAUGCUAGGUGUUGGAGGGUUUCCGCCCUUCAGUGCCGCAGCUAACGCAUUAAGCAUUCCGCCUGGGGAGUACGACCGCAAGGUUGAAACUCAAAGGAAUUGACGGGGGCCCGCACAAGCGGUGGAGCAUGUGGUUUAAUUCGAAGCAACGCGAAGAACCUUACCAGGUCUUGACAUCUUUUGAUCACCUGAGAGAUCAGGUUUCCCCUUCGGGGGCAAAAUGACAGGUGGUGCAUGGUUGUCGUCAGCUCGUGUCGUGAGAUGUUGGGUUAAGUCCCGCAACGAGCGCAACCCUUAUGACUAGUUGCCAGCAUUUAGUUGGGCACUCUAGUAAGACUGCCGGUGACAAACCGGAGGAAGGUGGGGAUGACGUCAAAUCAUCAUGCCCCUUAUGACCUGGGCUACACACGUGCUACAAUGGAUGGUACAACGAGUUGCGAGACCGCGAGGUCAAGCUAAUCUCUUAAAGCCAUUCUCAGUUCGGACUGUAGGCUGCAACUCGCCUACACGAAGUCGGAAUCGCUAGUAAUCGCGGAUCAGCACGCCGCGGUGAAUACGUUCCCGGGCCUUGUACACACCGCCCGUCACACCAUGAGAGUUUGUAACACCCGAAGCCGGUGGCGUAACCCUUUUAGGGAGCGAGCC
rnacentral:rRNA from 2 species